rnacentral:rRNA from 1 species
UACGUAGGGUGCAAGCGUUGUCCGGAAUUAUUGGGCGUAAAGAGCUCGUAGGCGGUUCGUCGCGUCGGCUGUGAAAACCUGAGGCUCAACCUCAGGCCUGCAGUCGAUACGGGCGGACUUGAGUACUGCAGGGGAGACUGGAAUUCCUGGUGUAGCGGUGAAAUGCGCAGAUAUCAGGAGGAACACCGGUGGCGAAGGCGGGUCUCGUGGGCAGUAACUGACGCUGAGGAGCGAAAGCGUGGGGAGCGAACAGG